AAAGCAGUGUGUAAGACUGGUGAAGGAGAACAUGCCAAGAUGCAUGAAAACUGUUAUUAAAAACCAGGGUUAAUGAACAAAAUAUUGAUUUCUGAACUCCUUUUUAUGAAUAUAAACUUAUUUUCCUUGCAUGAUUUGCUCUGCAUCUUUUUUGUCAUUUCUCAUUUUUUGCAAAUAAAUGCUCUAAAUGACAAUAUUUUUAUUUGUAAUUUGGGAGAAAUGUUGUCAGUAGUUUAUAGAAUAAAACAACAAUGUUUAUUUUACUCAAACAUAUACCUAUAAAGAGCAACAUCAGAGAAACUGAUUCAGAAACUGAAGUGGUCUUUUACUUUUUUUCCAGAGCUGUACAUGUAUCAAUUGAAAAUAGACAGUAAUUCCACCAACCAUUCACCCACAAGCUAAUUUGUGGUCUCAUCAUUUUCAGUUUCAGUUCUAGUGCUUUAUAUAGUUAUACUUUAUGGGCUUUUUUAACAUUUGUGCUUUCCAUUUUUGCGCUUCAUACUAAACUAACACGUAUCUACUUUUGAGCUACAUCUUGAGUUGAGUGUUGACUGUUUUUUCUGCAGAUUUCAGAAGAAAAAACACAGAGAGGAAGUGUGUAAAGCCUGCUUUUGGAGAGGUGUGAAAGCCCCUCACAAGCCCGCUUACAUAGCCACUCUUCUUUUAUCUGUGUGCACGUUCUAUGCAGAAGAUAAUAGUAGCAAGAUGAAGAGCAGGACUGUGUGGAGUGCAGCUCGAAACAUGGCACCUCAGAGUUUCCUCCUGGCUGUAAUCCAUCUAUCAGCAUACGUCUAUGGUAAUGUCAGCGUGGAGCAAUGGCCGCCCACAGCACAGCACUCAACAGGAGAAAACACCACCCUGUUCUGCAGGAUCCGCGCAGACAGAGAAACGAACAUUACCAAAUGCCGCAUAGAUUGGUACAGGCAGAGCGAGGAUGGCAGGCUUCCAGAGAUCAGACAGCUCUUACAGUUCAGAGGAAGGUUCCAGGAGCAUGUGAAUGACAGCCAGUGGAGCAGCAACCUCUCACUGACUGCACUUGAGCUGAAUGACACCGGCAGGUUCUUCUGCAACUACUUCUGCCUGAUUAACAGAACAUUACCGGCACGUCAGUAUGGUGGAACAGGCACAAAUCUCAGUGUCUAUGAAGAGAAAAGGGCUCCUAGGAUAACAGAUGCUGUUAUAUCUACUACUACUAUUAAUGCUGGUAAGUGACACCAAGUGAUCAAGUCAUGUGUUUGACGGAUAGUAACAAAUAUGUAAAUAAUUACAGGUAUAUCAUGAUUGGACACUUGCCACAAAGGGGUGUAAAACUGCUUCCUUAGCUGAACUUUAAAGGAGAAACAUGUAAAAGUACUAACCUUUGUUGAAUAGCACGCCUCCAUUCUCCCGCAGCUUUCUGAGAUCCAGUAGUUUUGUUCUUUUUGCCCAGCACUCUUAACAACGGCCGCUUCGGGGCAUAUUUUGCAAAUGAUAAAUCACUUUUUACACCAUUAUCCAGGCUCAACGUAACUCCACACCUCAUUGGUAGAAUCCGGAAAGCCCUGACAUUUAAAACAAGGCAUUAAGAACUUAAAAAGUGCACAGAUAGCUUAUUAAAAUACGCUGUUUACAACCUGUAGCGUAAGCUUCAGCUCCAGGUGCCACCAUCAUUGUACUGAUCAUGAAAUAGACUUAUAUACAUAGACGCCACAUAACCUGCCUCCUGGUGUAGCAGCCAGCCACUACAAUCGUGUGCCCCCAGUGCAUUUAUUAGUACUGAGGAAGGUGUUUAUUACACCUGUAAUAAUCACAACUCUACAAAUUUUUACCCGAUUUUCAUACGGUUUGAUUUGUUACAAACAACAGAGAUGUAGUAAUGAUACAGAAUGCUGUCACACAUUACAAAUACGUGCUUUCAUGCUGAAAUACUUUGUAUUAUGCUCUUUAACAAAGACGGACAUCUCUGCUGUCUGAACCAAACCAUGUGAAAACCAAACCAUGUGAAAAUCGGGUAAAAAUUGGUUGAGGCGUGAUUAAUAUAGGUGUAUUAAACACCUUCCUCAGUACUAAUAAUUUUUGUGCACUUUUAAAGCCUUGUUUUAAAUGUCAGGGCUUUCCAGAUUCUACCAAAGAGGUGUAGAGCUACUUUGAGCCUGGAUAACGGUGUAAAAAGUGAUUUAUCGGGGGCAAAAUAUACCCCUAUGUAGCCGUUGUAAAGAGUGCUGGGCAAACAGCACAAAAUUGCCGGAUCUCUGAAAGCUGCGGGAGAAUGGAGAUGGGCUAUUUAACAAAGGUAAGUACUCUUUAUCAUGUUUUACUACACAAAAAGUCAAUUUUACACCGGAGUUCUCUUAUAAACAGGCUCCCUUUGGGUAGUGUACCUCUAGGUGAGAGUUUGCUGACCUCUAGAAAUGCCUCUACAACCUAAUCAAGAUUCAUUCUGCCCAGCUGUGAAUAUAUGCAUACACAUAUUUGUGUAUGACAUUUAUAUACUUGGAAUAAAAUCUUUUUACAUCUUUUUUUUGUAAAAGCU
ensembl:lncRNA